rnacentral:rRNA from 1 species
GACGAACGCUGGCGGCGUGCUUAACACAUGCAAGUCGAGCGAUGAAGUUCCUUCGGGAAUGGAUUAGCGGCGGACGGGUGAGUAACACGUGGGUAACCUGCCUCAUAGAGGGGAAUAGCCUUCCGAAAGGAAGAUUAAUGCCGCAUAAGAUUGCAGUUUCACAUGAAACAGCAAUUAAGGGAGUAAUCCGCUAUGAGAUGGACCCGCGUCGCAUUAGCUAGUUGGUAAGGUAACGGCUUACCAAGGCGACGAUGCGUAGCCGACCUGAGAGGGUGAUCGGCCACAUUGGGACUGAGACACGGCCCAGACUCCUACGGGAGGCAGCAGUGGGGAAUAUUGCACAAUGGGGGAAACCCUGAUGCAGCAACGCCGCGUGAGUGAUGAAGGUCUUCGGAUUGUAAAACUCUGUCUUCAGGGACGAUAAUGACGGUACCUGAGGGGGAAGCCACGGCUAACUACGUGCCAGCAGCCGCAGUAA